rnacentral:rRNA from 1 species
GAUUUCCUACGGGGCGCAGCAGUAGGGAAUUUUCGUCAAUGGGCGCAAGCCUGAACGAGCAAUGCCGCGUGAACGAGGAAGGUCUUCGGAUCGUAAAGUUCUGUUGAAGGGGAAAAAGAGCGGAGAGAGGAAAUGGUCUCCGAUUGAUAUUACCCUUCGAGGAAGUCACGGCUAACUACGUGCCAGCAGCCGCGGUAAUACGUAGGUGGCGAGCGUUAUCCGGAAUGAUUGGGCGUAAAGGGUGCGCAGGCGGUGCGUCAAGUCUGAAGUAAAAGGUACAGGCUCAACCUGUGCAGGCUUUGGAA